CCUACGGGGGGCAGCAGUGGGGGAUAUUGCACAAUGGGGGAAACCCUGAUGCAGCGACGCCGCGUGGGUGAAGAAGCGCCUCGGCGCGUAAAGCCCUGUCAGCAGGGAAGAAAAUGACGGUACCUGAAGAAGAAGCCCCGGCUAACUACGUGCCAGCAGCCGCGGUAAUACGUAGGGGGCAAGCGUUAUCCGGAUUUACUGGGUGUAAAGGGGGCGCAGACGGCGAUGCAAGCCAGGAGUGAAAGCCCGGGGCCCAACCCCGGGACUGCUCGUGGAACUGCGUGGCUAGAGUGCAGGAGGGGAAGGCGGAAGGCCGGGGGUAGGGGGGAAAGGCGUAGAUAUGAGGAGGAACAACGGGGGCGAGGGCGGCCGGCUGGACUGCAACUGACGUUGAGGCCCGAAAGCGUGGGGAGCAAACAGGAUUAGAUACCAUAGUAGGC
rnacentral:rRNA from 1 species